rnacentral:rRNA from 1 species
GACGAACGCUGGCGGCGUGCUUAACACAUGCAAGUCGAACGGAAAGGCCCUGCUUUUGUGGGGUGCUCGAGUGGCGAACGGGUGAGUAACACGUGAGUAACCUGCCCUUGACUUUGGGAUAACUUCAGGAAACUGGGGCUAAUACCGGAUAGGAGCUCCUGCUGCAUGGUGGGGGUUGGAAAGUUUCGGCGGUUGGGGAUGGACUCGCGGCUUAUCAGCUUGUUGGUGGGGUAGUGGCUUACCAAGGCUUUGACGGGUAGCCGGCCUGAGAGGGUGACCGGCCACAUUGGGACUGGGCUACGGCCCAGACUCCUACGGGAGGCAGCAGUGGGGAAUAUUGCACAAUGGGCGGAAGCCUGAUGCAGCACCGCCGCGUGCGGGAUGACGGCCUUCGGGUUGUAAACCGCUUUCGCCUGUGACGAAGCGUGAGUGACGGUAAUGGGUAAAGAAGCACCGGCUAACUACGUG